GGGUUGUGAGGUUAAGCGACUAAGCGUACACGGUGGAUGCCCUGGCAGUCAGAGGCGAUGAAGGACGUGCUAAUCUGCGAAAAGCGUCGGUAAGGUGAUAUGAACCGUUAUAGCCGGCGAUGUCCGAAUGGGGAAACCCAGUGCAAUUCGUUGCACUAUCGUUAACUGAAUACAUAAGUUAACGAGGCGAACCGGGGGAACUGAAACAUCUAAGUACCCCGAGGAAAAGAAAUCAACCGAGAUUCCCCCAGUAGCGGCGAGCGAACGGGGA
rnacentral:rRNA from 1 species